rnacentral:rRNA from 1 species
AGCUCCAAUAGCGUAUACUAAAGUUGUUGCGGUUAAAAAGCUCGUAGUUGGAUCUUGGAAUGUGUUCAAGCGGGUCAGCUUCUGGCUGUUCGCUGCUUGACGUGUUCUUCUAUUUGGUUUUGGUGCGGUGCGCUUAACUGCAUGUCGCUCCCGGCCGAAACGUUUACCUUGAAAAAAUUAGAGUGUUCAAAGCAGACCUGUUUGAGUCUGAAUAUUCGUGCAUGGAAUAAUGAAAUAUGAAUUCGGUUCUAUUUUGUUGGUUUUCGGAACUCGAGUUAAUGAUCAAGAGGGACAGACGGGGGCAUUCGUACUCUGCCGUUAGAGGUGAAAUUCUUGGAUCGGCGGAAGACGCGCAACUGCGAAAGCAUUUGCCAAGAAUGUUUUCUUUA